AUUAGUUACCCUCUAAUUGUGUUGUCAUUAACACCAAAAUAAAUGAGGGGUCCUAGAUGCACUUUCAAUCUCCCCUUUUUGGUGAUUGAUGACAACACACUUAGAAGUAA
rnacentral:misc_RNA from 1 species